UGACGGCUCGGGUUCUUGGCUCCAACAGAUUUUUAGGUUUAUAAAGGGACAAACUAUGUAAUUAUGUUAUUUUAAUAUGGGCAUUUUUGUCAAAAAUACAGCUUUCCGAAAAAGCUGAAACAGCUUCCUCCCAAAAACUCCAAAUUGGAGCUUCCUCCCAAAAGCUGUUUUCAGCUUCCCACAAAAGCUAAAACAGCUUUUUGAAAAAUUUACCAAACACAGUUUUUCA
rnacentral:lncRNA from 1 species